ACUAUAUCCUUUAAAGGGAUCUCGUGCCACCAAGUGAAGUUGUGAUAGUAAUUCAUCCAAUGAUGAGUAUUCUGUGGGAACAAUUGUUCUCCUUGUCUCAGCAUCCUCAGAAUGUUGGAACAAAACAUCAGAUCCAUCACCAACAAGUCCAUCACUGCUUCCAUCUUGCUUCAUGUUAUUAGACUUCAAUAUGGAGGUAGACCCAGUCAUCUGGCUAGCAACUCUACGGAUACAUUCACCAAUCUUGAACGAAGGCUUAGGAAAUGAAGGUGCAGUAGUAGAGACUUUUGCAAGAGAGAGAGUUUUCCUCCCUUCUGCUGUGGCUAAGUCAUCAGGAAAGGAAUCAAAGACCUUCCGCUUCUUCCCAGAAGAUGGUGAAACUAAUUUAUUGUUAGCUUUCCCAUCAGGACCAAUUUCAUCAUCUACACAUUCCCAUGAAUCACCCAUUAAUUCAGACAAGCUUCUUUCUUUCUUCCUAGGAUAGACAGUAUCUUUCAAAUUAUGUUUGCGCUUGUGGUAAGAACUUCUUUGGGCAUGUACAAUCUCCUGACCAGAUGAAAUUUUUCCAUCAUCCUUACAAAAAGGAUAUGUGGGCUCUAUCACUUCAUCUGUAAAUUCUAAUGUGCCUGCAUUCUCUAACAACCCUCCACAAAACUGGAAUUCAGGCAACUGAGAAUAACCCUUUAAGCGAUAAAAGGCCAGUAAUUGGGACCUGGCAAUGACAAGUUCAAGUCGAUCAGCUCCACCAGCUGGACAUUGUGCUAAUGCUUUCAUACACUCUACUAAUUUACCAGGUUCAAAUAAAUCAGC
rnacentral:misc_RNA from 1 species